UACGGGGGGGGGGGCAAGCGUUGUUCGGAAUUACUGGGCGUAAAGGGCUCGUAGGCGGCCAACUAAGUCAGACGUGAAAUCCCUCGGCUUAACCGGGGAACUGCGUCUGAUACUGGAUGGCUUGAGGUUGGGAGAGGGAUGCGGAAUUCCAGGUGUAGCGGUGAAAUGCGUAGAUAUCUGGAGGAACACCGGUGGCGAAGGCGGCGUUCUGGACUGCAACUGACACUGAAAAACGAAAGCCAGGGGAGCAAACGGG
rnacentral:rRNA from 1 species